rnacentral:tRNA from 2 species
GACACGAGGAUUUUCAGUCCUCUGCUCUACCAGCUGAG